AAUGGAUAAGGUGAAGCUUUUGGAUGCAAAACAAUCCGCUAUAAGUGCUUAUUUGGACUGCUACUGAGGUUGGGUUAAAAGAGCAAUUAAGUUGAUAGUGUUAUCUGUUUUCAGGGUGAAUCACCUGUGAGGUACAAAAAAAGGGACGUAUGGGCCGUCGGUGGAUAAGUUGGGAUGAUUUGGGUUUAGAUUGAGCCACUUAUUACUGGGAAUGAAAGUUUGGUGUACAAUGCAACUUUGGGAGUAGAGAUGAAGAACUUUGGACAUCAAGUAGCAACUAUUUUAUUGGUGAUAAUUGGAGAUUCAACUAGCUCUAAUGUGGUCCAAGAUUUUUAGGGAAAGUAAGUUCAAGACAAACUCAUGAUGCUCAUGAUGUGGAUUGAGCGAAGUUGUAGUUAGAUUAGAUUGUAAAUUUUAGUUUAGUGAACUUGGGAAAAUAAAUCUAUGCUCAUUGAUAUUGUACUUUGGAUGUUAG